UUUCCUACUCACUGAUUUUGGUUGCAUGAGACUUUUUGUUAUUUUUGAAUCUGGCCUCGCAUGUUCAAAACUUAUACACUCUUUAUAUGUAGAUUGUUCCUAUUAAAAUAACCUCUAAUUUUGGAGAUUGAUUUCAGAUUGCCAUUGUGUGAACUUGAUUGAUUCUUUCCUUGUCUAAAUUGAACCUUCCGAUUCCCUUCUUUUCUGACUUGGUUCAUUAUUGAUUUCGAAUCUUUGAUUCCCUGAUUUACUAUGUACUAGUUGAUUUAAUUCUUGCCUUAUUUACUUAACCAUGUGUUUCAAAACUUUCCCCUAUGUAUUUAUCCCAUAUUUUCAUGUUGUGCACGAUAUGUUACUUGAUUCCCUUUCAUUAAAUAGCUUCUGCCCUUUUACCAUUCAAAUUUGAACUCCUUAAUUAAAGGAAUUCCCUUCUACUGAUUGAUUUUAGCUGAUACUUGAUUAUUUUCUUGCCUUUCCUACAUGCCUGAUUUCAAAGUAUAAAUACAUGCUCCUCUUUUGACACGAAAAAAAUAAUUCGACACAAACAUCUCUAUCUUGAAAUAUUCAUUACUACUUAACUACUUUCUCUACUACUCUCUCUAUUACUACUCUUCUUUCUCCACUCGGCACCCUGCCCUGCUCUUCUAUAAUCUGAAAAUAAUCUCGAGUUCCUCCUGAACUCUCAAAUAUUUUCUCAAGGAUUUGAGUGUGAUAUUGCUGAUUUAUGAUUGUUUAUCUGCUUUGGUUGUUCUGUUGUUCUAAAAACUUGUAACUGGUAUGUUCUCCUAGUUAAAUAACACCCUCUUUAUUAUGUGUUCACUCCUCCUCUUCUACACUUCUUUCCAUGUGUGUUUACUUAUGCUUUCCUACAUUAUCUAAUUACAUUCAAGCAUGCUAUGCCUUUUCCUUUAUGUUUUCAAUCUGUUAUAGUUUUAAUCCCCU
rnacentral:lncRNA from 1 species